UUUUCUUCUCCACGUCUGCCGAUUACGUCUUUAACCUCCCCAAUAUAUCUUCAAACUCCACUUCUCCCUACCACGUUCGUCCCCUUUCACAUAUAACCUUCAGCACGCCUCCGAGUUCAACUGUCCACCUCAAUAAGCCCUAAACAUCAGGUAGGUGUAGUAACUAUUGUGCAUAUAUAAGAGGUUGCUUUUUUGAAUAUAUGCGUUAUUCCAUCGCUUGAAAUUUGUCUAACGGUUGAUACAUCAUGGACCAGAAAUUGGCUGAUAAGGAUUUUCUGUUUGAAGAAAUGGCACCCAAGGUAAAAUUUAUUGAAAAGAUGUUUGGAUUUUGAUUCCUGUCUUUGAAAAUUUAUAAUUUUUUACUGCUUAAUUGUAGCUAUCUCAACUCAAAAUUGGUUAAAUCGUUGGUUUUAUUAUAUUGUUCAAUAUAACUAUCGUUUGCUUUUGGAAAUUUGCUAUGUUUUUUUAUAUAUGAUUAUAAUUUAUAAUCACUUACACAAUGAAGAACACUGUAUCCGUUCAUGAAAAUGCCAACCUUCAAACAAUAUCAGCUAAAUCCAUUGAUUUUGAAAGUAACUCUACUGAGAUAAUUGAGUAUUCUCCUCACUUCGGUCCUUUUAAAUCGAUUUUGGAAAGGGUUAUUUCGGAAGGGGUAGAAAUUCAUCGUCUUUUCAUCAAUUGUUAAUAGUUUAUGAUGUUUUAGUUUUGUUUUAGGUUUCUACAAUUGCUAAAGAAGAUCAACAACUCGAAAGGAAAAGAAAAAGAGUUUUAGCUCUAACAUAGUGGAAGUAGGAUGAAGUUGUGGACCUCUGCUCAGAUGAUGAUGAGAAAGAGGAUGUCCCCACCAUACAAGCAAAAAAGAAAGUCAGGGUUUGCAUUUACAAUCGAAAUCGACCCAUGAAACUCCUUGACAAGUCGGAUGUGGAGGAUUGAUGUUUCUAUAAGUUGGUUUUAAUAUGUUUUUCUUAUUUUCAAUAUUAUGUUUAGUUGUUGUUAUCAAUCUAUGUUUCAAACCUCUUGCUUUAUAAUAUAAGUUUGGUUCUUAUAAAUGUUUUGUGUUUGUUUUUUAUAAAUGUUCAAUAUUCAGUUUCCUAAUCAAUGUACUAUUUCCUUCUUAAAUCUCAGUUCAUUGCUUCUAAAGUCAUAACUAAUUAAGUCACUUUGAUUGAUAGUGGAUGCUCUUUUCGAGGUCUUCUUUGAAAGUACAUUUCAAUCCUUUUUGAUGAUCUUUAGUUGUUUUUCAUAGGAUGA
rnacentral:lncRNA from 1 species